GGCCGCCAGGUGCAGCCUGGUGGUCCGGGAAGGUAUAUAAAACCAUUCAUGAUUCAGAAACCUUCCAGCAGGUUCUCUUCGCUUCUCCACGGUGAACUGAGCCUACAGCACGGCUAAACGAUGUCCUGUGAGAAAACUGUGUGCGCUGAGCCAUGCGCUGCUCCGUGCAAUGUGAAAUGCCCUGAGCCCCGUGCCGCCGCCUGCAAUGAGCCCUGCGUAGUUGCCUGCCCUGACUCCCGCGUCAUCAUCUACCCUCCUCCUGUGGUCGUCACCUUCCCAGGACCCAUCCUCACCACCUACCCGCAGGAUACUGUCGUGGGCUCCACGGAAUCAGCUGAGCUGGCCACGGUCAUCGAGUCGGGCGUACCCAUCGGUUCAACGCAGAAGGGUGCUGAGUGUGUGCUGCCCUGCGCUGAGCCGUGUGCCCCGAAGCUUGUGACGAAAUGUGAGCCCCAGUGUGUGCCCCAGUGUGUGCCCCAGUGCGUGACCCAGUGUGCGCCCCCAUGCCCGCCCCCAUGCCCACCCCCAUGUGAUCCUCCAUGCGUGCCCCAGUGCGCACCAGAGUGCUCCUACACCUAUUCCACCCGCUGGAAGCAUCCUUGCCAGAGGGGCUUCUGCAAGAAGCUCUGAUCAGCCAAAAGCAGAGUAUAAUCACAGGGAAAGAACAAGCAAAGAAGUGAAAGGAUAUGGCGCAUGAUUUACAGGCAUGGCUUUCAGGGUUCUUCCUACUAUAGAGGGAAGCACUCUGAAAAUCAGGACCCUAUUUCUAAUUCCCAUAUAGUGCUUUAGCUUAGAUUAGUGCUCUCUUUAUCCUUGUGGCUUUGCAUCUUACAUCUGCGCUUUUAACUUUCUCUACCCAGUUUGACUUCGACCAUGAUUUAAAAAAUAAAUAAAAGAUUAAAGCACACAAAGAGAUUUAAAUGUCAGACUCAACAAGAAUCUCAGGAAAGUGAACAUCUCAAUGAAAUGCAUCACACUGGAAUGGGUGACUGGUUUUAGUUUUCUUGUCUCUAGAAAUAUAUUCCUUUUAGACUGCAUUAUUCUUUCUGCAAAUGUUUACUCCACUUUACAUUUACAUUAAAAGGCUGCUGCAUUAAACCA